GAUUCCCCUAGUAACGGCGAGUGAAGCGGGAAAAGCUCAAAUUUGAAAUCUGGCGGUCUACGGCCGUCCGAGUUGUAGUCUAGAGAGGUGUCUUCUGCGUCGGACCAUGCACAAGUCCCUUGGAACAGGGCGUCAUAGAGGGUGAGAAUCCCGUCCGUGGCAUGGACUCCCGGUGCUUUGUGAUGCGCCUUCGAAGAGUCGAGUUGUUUGGGAAUGCAGCUCAAAAUGGGUGGUAAAUUCCAUCUAAAGCUAAAUACAGGCGAGAGACCGAUAGCGAACAAGUACCGUGAGGGAAAGAUGAAAAGCACUUUGGAAAGAGAGUUAAACAGUACGUGAAAUUGUUGAAAGGGAAACGCUUGGAGUCAGUCGCGUUUGCCGGGACUCAGCCUUGCUUCUGCUUGGUGCACUUCCUGGUACACGGGCCAGCAUCGAUUUUGAUCGCCGGAAAAAGGCUUGGGGAAGGUGGCACCUUCGGGUGUGUUAUAGCCCCUUGUUGUAUACGGUGGUUGGGAUUGAGGACCGCAGCACGCCUUUUGGUCGGGGUUCGCCCACGCCACGUGCUUAGGAUGCUGGCGUAAUGGCUUUAAACGACCCGUCUUGAAACACGGACCAAGGAGUCUAACAUGCCUGCGAGUGUUUGGGUGUAAAACCCAGGCGCGUAAUGAAAGUGAAAGGUUGGGACUCUUCGCUGAGGCACCGACGCCCGAUCCUGACGUUCUCUGACGGAUUUGAGGUAGAGCAUGUAUGUUGGGACCCGAAAGAUGGUGAACUAUGCCUGAAUAGGGCGAAGCCAGAGGAAACUCUGGUGGAGGCUCGUAGCGAUUCUGACGUGCAAAUCGAUCGUCAAAUUUGGGUAUAGGGGCGAAAGACUAAUCGAACCAUCUAGUAGCUGGGUUCCUGCCGA
rnacentral:rRNA from 1 species